rnacentral:rRNA from 1 species
AUUGAACGCUGGCGGAAUGCUUUACACAUGCAAGUCGAGCGGCAGCGCGGGGCAACCUGGCGGCGAGCGGCGAACGGGGGAGUAAUGCAUCGGAACAUGUCCAUGUCGUGGGGGAUAGCCCGGCGAAAGCCGGAUUAAUACCGCAGACGCCCUGAGGGGGAAAGUGGGGGACCGCAAGGCCUCACGCGAGUGGGUUGGCCGAUGUCCGAUUAGCUAGUUGGUGGGGUAAAGGCCUACCAAGGCGAUGAUCGGUAGCUGGUCUGAGAGGAGGAUCAGCCAAACUGGGACUGAGACACGGUCCAGACUCCUACGGGAGGCAGCAGUAGGGAAUAUUGCACAAUGGGCGAAAGCCUGAUGCAGCAACGCCGCGUGAGUGAAGAAGGCCCUUGGGUUGUAAAGCUCUUUAGCCUGGAAAGAAGUGCUCGUGAGUAAACAAUUCACGAGUGUGACGGUACCAGGAGAAUAAGCACCGGCUAAUUUCGUGCCAGCAGCCGCUGUAA